ACAUCAUUUAUUUAUCUUCCACCUAUUCACAAGAAGCUCUAAAGGAAUGAACAAUACAUUCUAGCCUCGCCACACUACCAUGCAACCCAUGUAGGCAACCGUUAUCUAGUUUAUCUGUCAAACAACCACUGUUAGGCUACAUUCCAGGGCGAAACCUUUUAACCGUACUUUGGAUCCUUUCCUUGACAUCUUUACUGAUUUGCGAACCCGUUUCUCCGUUUAAAACGGUCGUCAGCAAUAUAUACGAACAUCGUUGAUGCUGUUACCGCAAUUCAGGGAACCCUUUCCAGGUUAUGAGCAUCUCACCUGUGCAAGGCUAUUUGUUGUAUGAUCACAUAAUGAAAACAUCGAUAGCAGCCGGUUUCUCAUCGAUAGUUUCAACGGAUUAAAGGAAAUGUAUACGACCGAUCUGGUGAGGCAUAGUACAGGCAUGACGAUAGUUCUUGGAACACUUUCUGGCUGUUUUGUUUAGUCAUAUGAAAAUGUAAGGCAUUCAUGAUAAUCUAAUGAUUAUUAUUUAAUUGCAAAGUUUGCAGAUACAUUUUCAACCCCACUAUGUGAGAUAAGCAGAAUAUAUUAUGUCAAUUUAAAAGCAGUUUUUGCGAUUAUUUGGUAGAUAAUUGAUGCAUACACACAACUUACAUCGAGCGAUAAUACUGACAAAAGCAUAGGCUAGGCCUAUAUGAAAUACGAUUUUGGCGAGACUAUAUUAAACUUCGAUUCCCUUGUGUCUCAGAUUUUAAGUUGAUGCUAUAAAUGCCACUUGAAGUUCCACAUGGCAGGAACUUACUAUUAAUGUCUAUGUUAUAGUUUAAGUUAGCCUAUAUUCCCUAUAACACGACGCAUAUAAAUAUAAUUAUGUGACAUAAUUAUGUGUUAUUACCAAAAAUAUCAAAUGCCAUUCGCAGUGCAGUAUAGGCUAUAUUUGCACAUGUGGCCUAUAUGAAUCAGAUCAUGCAUAUGGUUUGCUGAGCAUCUACCGUGAGUUAGAGGUUAAAAUAGAUUAGAUAUAGGCCUACGUGGGCUUCAAAUAUAUUUAUUAAACAUAGGCUAAAUUAGGCUAAUUUCCAAGUGAUGCGGUCUCUCUCUAUCCGUUUGUAUAACAAACAAAUAAAUAAAUGUCAGGGCAACUGCCCCCCACAAACACGUUAAGAAUUCUUGGACCAGUUGUGAAAGCAAUAAAAGGCCAUGAUAGUCUGACCUCCUACUUCGUGAACACGGGGGCAAAUAUCAGCCCAUCGGCAUUUCAGAUCAUUAAUAAACACGUUGAAGGAAAAUAGCUAAUAAUACAAUCCUCAUUGGUUCCGUUUAUGUAGGCGCUCCAGUAUAGGGAAUCUAUAAAGUCACUACACCGUUCAAAGCUUCCAGCUCCAUCUAUUGCUUUCGAGGCCUCUGUCGAAAUGACUCCUAUAAAAACAAGUAUUACGUUUCUUCAGGAGAGGGUAACACACGAUCUAUGCUUUCCCAUCCACGCGCACCUUUGAGCAUCUGCCCAUAACUGAACAGCUAACUUUCUAGAAGAAAUGGCUGUGGUGUGUUGUUCCAAAAAUAUAUAACUAGCCUAUAUUUCUGCCAUUAAAAAUACAAGUGUAAAAUAACUAUGAAAAAGUGUAGAGACGUUUCAUUAACAAAUGAGGUGUGCUGCUGUCAAUUAUUGACUUAAUAUGCAUAAUAGCCUAUGUUACAUGUGCAACUACAUAUAACAAAACAUAUAUUUGUUGAGUGAGUUCCAAUAGUUACAAAUGAGAAAAUAACUUAAAUUAACAUAACUAUGUUUUAACAGAUAACAUAAACCUCUGAAGGCAGAUGGUUCAAAAAAUUCUUCAUCUGCGGCUCUUCAAACUUUUCUCCAAUAGUGUAUCACUGAAAUUAUAUAAGAUAGACCUAUUCAAUAGUAUACUUGAAACAAGUAUUGCCUAUAGCUAAUUGUAAGAUUUGUAUUUGUUUUGAUGUGUUCAGUGUAGCCUGGUUUUGUUACAACUGGCUCUCAACUUUGAAACACAUUUACAAAUUCAUUAGAAAAAUAAAUGUUGCAUAAUGAAUUACAUAAAGACAAAAUGAAGAUGGCCAGUGUUGCUGCUUUCUUCAGACCCGAGCUGUGCGUUAUACUUUAAUGUGUGAGUUGGAGGGCUUGCUGAGAGCCCCCUCUGCUUUGAGUCGUUACGGGUUGAAAGAGAAGAGGAGGAGGUUUUUCCCCAAUCUGAUCCCUAACUAUUCGGGGGCUCAGAUUGGUGUGAAAGGGACGAAAAGGUCACUUGAAAUCGUAUUUUAUCCGCAGCCAUUUUCUCUAUGGAUCAGCAACUUUGAAUAGACAUCAUCUAAUCGCUCUUAAUGGAAAAGCUAUUCGUGAGAAAUAGGGAAAAUAUUUUAGAGCCUCACCACCAUAAGGUCGCUAUGUUUGUCUUCGACAAAAUUACAGACGGAUCAAAGUAGCUAACAGGUUGAGUUGGGAUUGAGUUUUGUUCACCGGUCAAAAUACACCAUGAUGAAUGAAGAACCACACACUAGGAUUCUGAGGCUACUGCCACGGCUAUAAUUGUAGACAAUUGAAGCCGAAAUGACUUUUCCAAUUAGCUUUGUGGUUGAAGUUUAGUUAGAGGGACUGUCAGUUUAUGCGAUGGGUAAUGGCUUUAUCGCUCACAAAACCAUCAUAUAUUUAAAGCAUAUGUGCUAAUUACAUGAAAUGGUGUCAGAGACCGAGAUCAUAAAUCCAUUAGCACUGAAACUCCUCAUGUUUCUGCUGUAAUAUUGUAGUUCACCAAAAACCCAACUGGAAGCACCAGUAGCGACAUCAAAGUAAACACAUUUUCUGAGCUGUUAACGUGGUAAGACGGUGAAAGUGACAUAAAUUACGCUGUUCUGUAUAAGAAGGGGUCAAAUGAAUGCGUACGGUAGGCCUAUAACGAAGUAUAAAGUGUGCAUCACGCCAUUCAAGGCAGACAAAAUCCUUCAAAACACAUAUAGUGUCUUAAUGUGGUAGCCUAUAUACGCCUAAUACCAUGGUGGCGAAGAAAGAAGACAUUAGCAAAACACAGCCAAAUCAUAAUUUUGAAUGGAAGAGGAUACCAUAUUAACUAAUAGGCUACUUGUGAUAGCCUACUGUCAAUGUCUUGAGACUUUUUAAAUCACAUCAAUCCAUAUAAUAUGAGGACAACCCUUUACCCCACGUUAAAGUGCUUCAAAAGUUAGAGAAAUUAGCCUGGUUAAAUGCAGAAUUCCAUUUUCUCUACUACUCGACUACUACAUCGAUUCUACCUAGAGGGGCCAAGGCAACACGAAUACAGGUUCCAAACGCAGUGCAUAAAGGCAUUUCACCCGUAACAGUCAUUUAUUUCAGGGAAACAGGAGGGCAAAGGUGGAAUUCUAGAGAAAUUCAACAAGUAGAGCUUCUACUUUUCAUCCUAUCGCCACAUUAUCCGAAAACACACUGUAGAUAGACCAAAGACAAAAAGUCAGAACAAGAUUAUCUCCCGUGCAAAUAUACAACCCGCACAUAACCAUUUAAGGAGCAGGGUUAUUAUGAAACUGGAGUAAAGAGAGAAAGGAAAAGACAGAACAUAGACAAGUGGCUUGUCUCAUUUGUUCUCCUUGAAACUGGGAGGUGAAAUAAAAUAUGACAUUUCCAACUUGCCUGCGUCAUUGCGCAUUUUUUGUAGUUAAAUGAGUGGCAUCACCUCAAGUAUCCAUAAUGGUUUUCUUAAACCAACACACAGCACGCGCUCAAUUAGAAUGUUGUCUGUCUGAACCGCCACCAUGCUGUAGCCUAAUAGGGGGUGACUGAGCACGUUUAGACUAACGGUACAUUAAGACAGAACAAAAUCAUUCUCAAGUUACAUAUCAUUCAUUGUGAUCAUUUCUCAUAUUUUAUAAGGCAUGAUAUUAAAAGGCGUGUAUAGCCUAAUUUGCAUGUAGACAUUCAGUUUCCAAACAGUAAACGUUAAGUGAGCCAUAGGUUAAGCAAGAUACUGAACAAAUUAAUUUGAAAAUCAACAAUAUCCUUUAGAAAACCAAACAUGUAUGAACACGAGACAUGUUAAAUAGCAAAGUGCAUCCACAAACAGUAUAAAAGAUGACUGUAUCUACCUAUCAUUACACCCCACUGUGCACACACUGGUUGAAUCAACGUUGUUUCCACGUAAUUUACAUCGAACCAACGUGGAAUAGACGUUGAAUUGACAUCCGUGCCCAGUGGGAUUGUACUAAUCAUGCAGAUGAGUGUAAUAAAAAUAAUAAUAAUACUAAAAUAAUGUCAUUAAGGUAUUUAACACACGCAAGCACACACACACACACACACACACACACACACACACACACACACACACACACACACACACACACACACAGCCUUCGGUAUCUUGAAUCUUAUAUGGGGGGUGUAAUCAUUAGAGAAAUGGAUGCCUGCAAAGUUUGUGAAAUGAUCAGAGAUGUUAGCUGGAUCUGAACAUCCUGAAGUCCAGCGCUAGUGAUGGGCCAGUGGUGGGCUAGUGAUGGGCUAGUCAUGGUCUAGUGAUGGGCUAGUGAUGGGCUAGUGAUGGGCUAGUCAUGGGCUAGUGAUGGGCUAGUGAUGGGCUUGUCAUGGGCUAGUGAUGGGCUAGUGAUGGGCUAGUGAUGGGCUAGUGAUGGGCUAGUGAUAGGCUAGUGAUGGGCUAGUCAUGGGCUAGUGAUGGGCUAGUGAUGGGCUAGUGAUGGGCUAGUGAUGGGCUAGUGAUGGGCUAGUCAUGGGCUAGUGAUGGGCUAGUGAAAGGUUAGUGAUGGGCUAGUCAUGGGCUAGUGAUGGGCUAGUGAUGGGCCAGUGAUGGGCUAGUGCUAGGCCAGUGAUGGGCUAGUGAUGGGCUAGUGAUGGGCCAGUGAUGGGCUAGUGCUAGGCCAGUGAUGGGCUAGUGAUGGGCUAGUGAUGGGCCAGUGAUGGGCUAGUGCUAGGCCAGUGCUAGGCCAGUGCUGGGCCAGUGAUGGGCUAGUGAUGAAUCAAGAACAUGAAGAUAGAGAGUCUGCACUAUUCCUGUUCCAAGUGCUGGAAUUGCUUGUAGGAGACAAAACAGAGACCGUUUUGGCCACGAUAACCUUUGAUGACAAAGGCACAACAGACCAUAUAUUUUCAGAUUGAUUUGGAAAUGGUGUGUGUAUCUAUCAGUGCAGGUGUGUGUGUGUGAUCAAGUCAUUCCACAGCUAUUGGCUGACUAUAUUAUCUGACUAUUAGAGCUACGCCGCACCAGGGGCAGUUUGACCCUUUGCUCGUCUCAACUGGAUGUGUGAUGUAUGCUGUGUGAUGUGGGAUGUGUGAUGUGUGAUGUGUGAUGUGUGAUGUGUGCUGUGUGAUGUGUGCUGUGUGCUGUGUGCUGUGUGAUGUGUGAUGUCUGUAUUCUGCUCCUUAAAAAGGGAGCAGAAUACAAAUGUACGUUGUUUGCUGCAACCAAUGGAAAAUAAAGUUGUCUUGUACUGUAUUGAAUCUUUGAUAUUGCUACUCUGAGCAAGGCAGUUAACCCACUGUUCCCCGGGCUCCGAAGACGUGGAUGUCGAUUAAGUCAGCCCCCCGCACCUCUCUGAUUCAGUUGAAGGCAUUCAGUUGUACAACUGACUAGGUAUCCCUCUUACCCUUUCCCUUUCUAGGGCCUUUGGCCUCAAGUAAAACCAAUGUCAGGUCUCUCCUGCCAAAUUAUGGUAAACAUAAGUCGGUGUUACCUCAGCUGUUGAUCUAAACAUGAUAUCUCCUCACCUUUCAGAUAGGGUAAAAAGGGUUUAACCAUUUCGCUUCAGGCUGCAUCAAAUACUAAUUAUAACUAAAGCAACGUAACAGACCAGUGCCUGCUGUAUACAGAACACACCUACUGAAAAACAACUAUGCUGCUCAAUAUUUUUUUAUUCUCAAGCUCACAGUCUGUCGUUCCCUCUCUCCAUAGAACUCAAAAUACGUUUGUUUGAUGUUUCUGCCCACGGAAAGCCAGAGGGGUCAAAAUUAAGAAAAUAUCUACAUUCAAAAUCAAAGUAAACUUUGGACCAGACAAUAUGUUAUUACUAUAUUGCAAUAGUCAUACGGCAUGUGUCUGUAUGUGUUCUCAUCAUCAAAUAAGGAACUAAUUGUGUUUUCCUGACAGGGAGUGAGCGGCUGUACAACAUGAUCGUGCCAUAUUUAAAUGAACGUCGUUGGAAGUCCCCCUUCCUUUGGAAUAAAGAGCAUCACCGUGUCACACGGUCAGAAUCGACAAGUCUUCUCCUAAUGUCAUCUUAAGAAGUACUAAAAAAGGAAGAAAAUACUGUUUAUCAAAACUCCAGGUUAGGUUGGUACACCUGUGAUUUAGGGAUUGUGUACAAGGUAAGGAUUGAUACUAGGAGCUUGUGUCUGCAGGUAAAGAGCAAGACGUGCACAGCGCCCCGAGCGCAGUAGAUCACCUGCUGGGUGUUAAUGAACAGUGGCGAUUCAACAUGUAGAAUCAUCUUGAAAUGAACAGAACAUGUCCGAUGUUCUGUAGUCAGAGCUGAUAGGAAGGCCACCAGCUGCACAUGGACAACAGUUGCGUUGGACUGUCUUGGCCUUAAAAGACAGGUACUGUCUGCAGUUGAAGAUAUCUACUGUGUUAUGAGUUAUGCCUGCUCUUCUGCCCUCACUGCCCUGGCCUGGCAUGGACCCAGAAGACAUAUCCUUAACAGAGUGUAUUAACCUCACUCAGUUAACCUUGACCCCUUCUACCCAGCAGCUCACACAGCCUUGAUGGUCAGUGGAAGCAGAGUAGAUUCAUUAUGAGGAUGGUGUUGUUGCUUUUAAGAAGUUAUACAUGAAAUAACAUUUUCAAGACCUAAUGUAUUUGUGAUGCCAUUAGUGUUUUAUUGUCAAUGUUCUUAUUGUCAUAUUUAGAAAUGAAUGUGCAGCUGUAUUAUACUGUGCUGGGCAAAAGGAUUUUGACAUAGUUGUGCCUCUCCUUCACUUAGAUUUUCAUUUGUAUAUGUGUUUGUGAUUCUGUGUUUGUGUGUGUGUGUGACCACACGGCAAGUUUACCUCGGGUGACCCCCGUUGACCCGAGGCAUCCCAGCGGAGGUCAAGCCUUGACAAAUGAGUUCAGGCGCAGAACAGCAAACAUUCCACAACAUGUUCUUCCUCAACAACUCCCCCUCUUUCUCCCUAUCUCUCUCUAUACUCCUCCUCUGAACAUCUAUCUCGUCAAAAGGUUGUAAGAAUGAGCUUAUCACACGUAAACAUAAUGGCAGAAGGUUGUGGAAAUGUUCCAGAACAUGAACUUCAGAGGAAGACAAAACCUUAAUGCGCUACUUUUAAGUAAUGCUCUACAAAGUUCUGUCUUGUUUACAAAUGAAUAAGGAAAAAUAAAGGGAUGUUAGUCAAAAAAAGCAAAGUAAACCCAUUGGAUGUUAGUAUUAAAUUACUCUUUAUCAGUAUUUGGGGCUUCAGAACUGGGCAGUGAUGUAGAGGCUGAGAAAAGAUGUAGUGUUUAAACAGGAUGUGUAGGCUGUAGCAUUUCUGGCAACAUAUCCCCCCCCCAAUCUCUCACUCUCUUCCCAGUUUCUCUCUGAUUUCCCAGCAUGCUGCUGUCACCUGUGUCAGGCUAUUGGUAUUCUUCUUUGAGAGGCUCAUUAAGGUAAGUGGCACCCCCCAUUACGACGACAAGGCGAGCAAAGGUUCCUCUUGUCCCGCGAGUCCCCCAGGGAGUUAUCCUACCAUAUCCUCUACCCAAGUCAUGUCUACUACUCACUACAUUUUUUUAAGAACACAUGAGGUCGCCACAGGUGAACCACUACGUCACAGGCAGAUCCAUACUGGAACAGAGGAAGCUAAUGCAAUGCAGUGCUGGGAUACCCUACAUAAAUCAUGAUUGUGUGUAAUAGCAUUACUGUCAGAGAAAGCAACAUAGAACGUCUGAAUAAAAGGACCAAUAAAUAUCAGUUCUAUUUCUAUGUU